rnacentral:tRNA from 1 species
ACCUGGAUGGCUCAGUUGGUUAAGUGUCCAACUUCGACUUGGGUCAUGAUCUCAUGGUUUGUGGGUUCAAGCCCCACCUUGGGCU